CGUGGGAAGAAUUAGGUUUGGGCUGUUUCUUUUCAACCGGCUUCGUGUCAUUCGCUUGAGUGUUUGCUUCAUAAAGUGUGGAAAUGUGCUGACACUGGCGCUUUUUGUGAGUGGUUUGGUUGGUUUUGGUUUUGUUUUUUUUUUUCUGCAGCCUGUAAUAACUACAGCGAACACUUUCCUGUAGCCUGUGUGUCCCUCAGCUGUGUGAGGAAAGGAAGACGUGAUGGGUUUAAACACCACCCCGUGAUCAAGUGAAGUUGCCAGAUAUUAGCACAAUGUUCAGGAGUAUACAGGAAAAUAAAAGGCAGCUCAGGAAGCAGGAAAGGCAAGAAUGGGGACCAGCUCCCCAGUACUGCCUAUGAGGGGAAGAAGGUCUUUGUCCUCUCUUGGAGGUGGUAGUGGAGGACACCACAGCCCAGGAUAAGACAUAGGUUUGGUGAUGUGGGGGGAAAGAGGACUUUGAGAAAUGUAAUAAGUAGAUUGGGUUGUUAUUGAGAGGUGAUCUAUAGGAAUGCUGCUGAGGUUGGUGGUGUGUGGUGAGUGCAGCUCUUGGGCAAGAGGCAACCUCCCUUUGCAGUGCUUCCUCCUCAAGUAGGAAGCCAAAAAGUGCAGUAGACAAUGGGAAAUCUUUGGAAGAAGUCAAGCUGCAUUAAGAAAAAACCCAUAAUGCUGUGAAAAUGACUAGUAUUUAGUCCAGGCUGUUUAGGCAGAAAAACGGUCAUAGGAGUUGUGGGAAACUGAGCCAAAUAAACAGAUGGGAUCUUCUAGUCCAGCUGGAAGAGCUACUCUUCUGUGCCGGGUUCAAAUAGAGGAUUUCAGAGCUAGAAAAAAUCUACAGAGAAAUUCCUCAAGACAGGAGAGUCUUCAGUUGAGUUAGGAAUACACCAGCCAAACAGUGAUUUCAGGGUAUUUUGUUAUCCUUAUUGGCUAUGAGGCAUUCAAAUAUAAAAAAGUGAGGAGCAGUGGCUGAAUAUCUGCUCAGGGGGAAUGAACUCAAAAGGGCAGUAAUUGUUGUAGGAGAUAAGGCCACACCAGUCUCAAGAACGAAAGCAAUUCUCAUCAUUUUCUUAGCUUUCAGAUAUAUGACAGCCUGAAAAAUAACUUGUUAGUCAGAAGACUUGCUUCUUGCCAGAUAUACACACUAUCCAAGUAGAGACGUGCUGUGAAGGACAGUUACACAACAGAGGAAGAAGUACUGAGCUUAUAAGAUAAAUGGCUGCAGUUCUGUACGCUUGGUCUGCACAAAAUGUUCUUGGAAGGGAAGCUUAGGAAAAAUCCUUUUCAAAUAUUUUCAGGAGAAUGAGAAUUACGCCUUAUCCUGGCUGCCCUCUAUAUGUACCCAGGGGGUAUUGGUCACAUGGGAUUAUUUCUGUUCCAUGCCUCAGAAGAGCCAUGAGGGUUGGACAUGCAUAGUCCUGGUUAAAAGUUUAAAAUUCGUCACCAUAAUAACCUUUAAUACUCUGUUUAAAUUUGUGGCAGCUCUGGAAGUGUCUAUCAGAAAAAGACUGUCUGUGGGAAGGAAGAGAAAAGCAAAUUGCAGCACAGAAACUGAGAGCUGUGAUGAGAUUGUCCUGCCAUUUCAAACUGAAGUAAGGAGAGCUUAAACUGAAAAUGGUGAGAGUCUGAGAGUGUGUGACUCACUAAUAUUGGGAAGGGUGGGUCUUAUUUUUCUUUUCUUCCUUAAGAAAGUUUCUGUAUAUUUCCUCUGUGGCCAAGGGCAUGUUCUUCUUUACAAGGACCCAGACAUAGGAGCAGGACUCUUAACACAAUAGUUUAUUGAUUCAUGCUCACAUUCUUAGCUGGUCAGAUAAAUCUUUCCUGUAGGGCCCUGCAGGGUGCUUAGAAGAUUCUCCAGAGAAGUAUUUGGGUUUUGAAUCCCCAAAGCAGAUGAGACUGUUGAGUGUGCUUUCUGUGGCUCUUAGGUGAAUAAGAGAUACCACUGUUGGGUCUUAUGAAAAAAAGAUGGAAGCUUCACUGUGUUCUCUGUAAAGAUUAACCUGCUAGGAGUACUUUGAGACUAGUGGAUUUAACCUUUAAAGGGAGAGGAAUACUUGGUUUACACAGACUAUGAGUUUAGGUGUGAGAGUGGUGACGGGCACCUUUGCAAAUGUGAGUAUGUUUGAGUACUUUACACAUCACUUAGCACACUUCAAGUAUAUAUGCAUUAAUAUGUAAGUAAUUUGUGGAGUCUGGGUAUCUCCUGAAUUUGGAGACAGGUGAAUUCCCCCCCAAAAUAGAAAACGAAGCUUUCUAAGGGCCAGCUUUCUCAUCUGUGUUAUUAGUAUGCCGGGAAUGGUCUCCAAGAAAAAUUGAAAUAAUGUUUAAAGUUAGAAAGGCAUAUUUGUGAAGGGUAGAUUGCUAACUUCCAACUAACCUUUGAGGUAAACUGGAAAUGAAAAUGUUUCAGAGAAUGAAUACUACUGAGCUGCUGCCCUUUUAGCUUCUAUUUCCAAGUAAAGGCUCAAAGAGGUCCCCUUCUGAAAGACAAUUCUGAGUGGUGUUUUCAGUCUGUAGAUCAGACACUAUUUCUGAUGGGUCUGCAAUUGCUUGAUAUGGGCCUGCAAAUGCUGAGACCCUUGUCUUUACCUUUUCUUUAGAAGUUGCUAUACUUCUACUGAAUGUAUUUAGAGAAAGCAAGAGCAUUCAUGUCAGGUAUGUCUUAAAUGUCAGUUCAUUUAUUUUAUGCUUUACUUUUUAAAGUGUGUUUUCAGCUUCAUAAUCUGGAACAUAGUCUUUUGUUUUGCAAGAAUAAGUUUUAUUGCUUUUAUUUUUAAACUUGUCUAAGGGGAACUGAGACAAAUCUGACCGUUUCAAGGUUCUUGCACUGGCAAGGAGGUAAGGAAGCCAAGGAAAGUAGCAAGUCCUUUGCAGUGCUUGUAGACCAAACUUGCAAUUAUCACCUUCCAAACUACUGGAGUAAUUCUGGGAGCUUGUAUCUUCAAGUACUCAGAGAAGAAGAGGAAUUCUGUGUUGUAAUCUGCAGCCAAUGCCUCUGACAAAGGGCAGGCAGUGAUGAUACAAACUAUGAUGUGAUGAAGUUUUCUCAGCUGAGUAAAGGAUUUUUUUCUGGGG